ensembl:piRNA 21ur-7751 ncRNA
UUAGUUCAAGUAGUGCUUUCU